CCUACGGGAGGCAGCAGUGAGGAAUAUUGGUCAAUGGACGAGAGUCUGAACCAGCCAAGUAGCGUGAAGGAUGACUGCCCUAUGGGUUGUAAACUUCUUUUAUAUGGGAAUAAAAUGUUCCACGUGUGGGAUUUUGUAUGUACCAUAUGAAUAAGGAUCGGCUAACUCCGUGCCAGCAGCCGCGGGAAUACGGAGGAUCCGAGCGUUAUCCGGAUUUAUUGGGUUUAAAGGGAGCGUAGGUGGAUUGUUAAGUCAGUUGUGAAAGUUUGCGGCUCAACCGUAAAAUUGCAGUUGAAACUGGCAGUCUUGAGUACAGUAGAGGUGGGCGGAAGUCGUGGUGUAGCGGUGAAAUGCUUAGAUAUCACGAAGAACUCCGAUUGCGAAGGCAGUUCACUGGACUGCAACUGACACUGAGGCUCGAAAGUGUGGGUAUCAAACAGGAUUAGAUACCCCUGUAGUC
rnacentral:rRNA from 1 species